UAGCAGUAAACGGUGCACGCUUGGUGUGAGGGGAAUCGACCCCCCUUGUGCCGGAGCUAACGCGUUAAGCGUGCCGCCUGGGAAGUACGGUCGCAAGACUAAAACUCAAAGAAAUUGACGGGGACCCGCACAAGCGGUGGAGUAUGUGGCUUAAUUCGAUGCAACGCGAAGAACCUUACCAAGGCUUGACAUGCAUCUCUAAACACGUGAAAGCGUGUGACCCUUCGGGGAAUUUGCACAGGUGCUGCAUGGCCGUCGUCAGCUCGUGUCGUGAGAUGUUGGGUUAAGUCCCGCAACGAGCGCAACCCUUGUGAUUAGUUGCCAGCACGUUAAGGUGGGAACUCUAGUCAGACUGCCCAGAUCAACUGGGAGGAAGGUGGGGACGACGUCAGGUCAGUAUGGCCCUUACGCCUUGGGCUGCACACGUACUACAAUGCCCAGCACAAUGAGAACCGAUACCGCGAGGUGGAGGAAAUCUGUAAAACUGGGCUCAGUUCGGAUUGGAGGCUGCAACUCGCCUCCAUGAAGUUGGAAUCGCUAGUAAUGGGGCAUCAUCUACGGCCCCGUGAAUACGUUCCCGGGUCUUGUACACACCGCCCGUCACAUCAUGGA
rnacentral:rRNA from 1 species